GAUGAACGCUAGCGGCAGGCUUAACACAUGCAAGUCGAGGGGCAGCACGUCUUCGGAUGGUGGCGACCGGCGCACGGGUGCGUAACGCGUAUACAAUCUACCUUUUACAGAGAGAUACCCCAGAGAAAUUUGGAAUAAUACCUCAUAAUAUUAUUGCUCGGCAUCGAGUGACAAUUAAAGUUUCGGCGGUAAAAGAUGAGUAUGCGUCCUAUUAGCUAGUUGGUAAGGUAACGGCUUACCAAGGCGACGAUAGGUAGGGGUCCUGAGAGGGAGAUCCCCCACACUGGUACUGAGACACGGACCAGACUCCUACGGGAGGCAGCAGUGAGGAAUAUUGGUCAAUGGGCGAAAGCCUGAACCAGCCAUGCCGCGUGCAGGAAGACUGCCCUAUGGGUUGUAAACUGCUUUUAUACAGGAAGAAACACUCGGACGUGUCCGAGCUUGACGGUACUGUAUGAAUAAGCACCGGCUAACUCCGUG
rnacentral:rRNA from 1 species